GUAUUUGUUGAUAAUAUUUGAUUUUAUGAAGAAAAUAGAGUGACAAUAGCAUGGUUACAUUUCUUCUGUUUUGAGAGUGUCCUGGACAUUUUUAUGAUGUACGGUGCAUAUACAACUACCAGGCGCUCAGCUCUAUCACAAAUUUUUCUAAGAUUUCUUUGGUUUAGCCUUGCUUCAGUUUUUGUAACUUUUCUUUAUGUUUUUUUUUCCUAAACAAUGAUUUUUAUCUGAUAUCAUCAGGUUUUUGUUGUUUUUUAUUGUCGUGUUGAUGAUGUUUACAUUUACAACUCUUUGUUAUGAUUGCAGAAAAGCACUCCAGGAAGAGAGUAAAAACGAUUCAAAUUAAGUUAUUUUCAUAUUUUAUGUUAUUGUUGUCGAGAUUAUGCCUGUGUCCAGUUUUUCAUUAGUUUCCUCAUGCGGAUUCCUGCAUGUCAUCUUCUAACAAACCAAUGUGAUCAUUGGCCUCUCAUUCACUUUGUGAAGUGGCCGCGCCAGGAACAACAUUAUGUUGGACGGGGAAUGUACGAAAGGAGUUUGGAUUUCAUAAAUUAUGCAUUGGAUAUUAUCUUUCGUAUUUUUUUCUUUACUUAUAAUACAUGUAGAAGUACUAAGAUACACCUUGUUGCUUUUCUCAGGUAUAUGCUGUUUUGGCUUGUCAUUUUGACUGCAAAAUUUUCAUUUGCUUAUUUUCUUCAGGUUGCUCAUAUGAUUCAAGCAGAAUCUGGUGCACAAAAGAGGGAUGAAUAUAUUCAUUGUUUGAUGCAGCUCCCGAAUCAGACAAAUACAAGUGUUGCAUCUUCUUUAGGGACACUUUUCCUUCCCCAGAUCUCAAUGAUCUUCUUGGACAAGCAGUUCGGUCAAGAGGGAGACACUUAAACUGAUUGAGACAUUCUUGGAUAAGGUUGAAGAUCAACUACAGACUGGAAAGUAAUUUGUGCCGCCAAUGAUGGAUCCUGUUCUUGGAGAUUAUGAUAGGAAUGUUCCUGAUGCAAGGGAAUCAGAGGUUUUGUCCCUUUUUGCCACAAUAGUAAACAAAUAUAAAGCUACAAUGAUAGAAGAUGUACCCCGCAUAUUUGAAGCCGUUUUUCAGUGCACAUUAGAGGAUAGGCAGGUCUUGUUGUAGCUACUUAUUGUCAACUCUUAAUGUAUGUAUUUAAAUUUUAGGAAUCUGGUAUAAAGCUUGUAAUUCACCGCAUAAAUAUGUAUCAAUUUCAUUUCCAAGGUUAGAUAAAAUUUUGUGAUCAAGUUUGGUGCCUUGCUGUCUAUUAUGUAGAUUUGUUGGAAGUAUCAUAUGUCCUUGCGGGUGCCUUCUUGCUUUUGGCAUGAGAAGCUAUUGUCCAUAUCUUAUUAGGCUGUGUUAGUUAACCUCUUGAUGGUGUGGUUCUAUUUUGUUUUGGAUGUCUUGCUUGAUCGUUUUAAUCGGUCAAUAUUGAUUUUAAAUGUCAUAUUUAAUUUAUCUUUUGUUUUGAGACAGCACCAGUUUUGAUGUGUAGUUAUAUCAUAAUAUUGGGGUGAUUUCAAAUAGCAGGUUAAUGAGGUUGAUGAUAUUCUUCAACAGGUUGAUGACACCCUCGAGUUAUUCAACAAAUUACAGUUGCAACAUCAACGGUGUUAUAUUUUUUUUUUUUUGAACAAGCCAAAAUGAGAUAUAUUAACCAAAUCAGUCCUCCUAGCACAAGGCGUACCGGGAUAGACUACAAUCAACGUGUUGAUGACACAAUGGUUGUAUGCUUGGGUUCUGUUUUCAUGCCGGAUAGUCUGGGGCAUUUACUUGGUAUAGAUACACAUGAUCCUGGAGGCUACCCAAAGAUUUGAACCUGUUAAUUUCUGGACUGUCAUGUAGUUGUUUUGUCAUACCUAGCAUCCGGGGCAUCUUUGAUCCAGUAACUGAAAGAGAGAUUUGUGUUUCGGCGAGUAUUUGAUUCACUAUUUUCAACGAGUUUUACUCUAUUCAUUGAUUUUUGAGUUUGAUACGACGUGAUUGUGUUAAAAUGUUUUUACUCUUAAAGCAACUUUGUUGUAAAACAUGGUGUACAUUUUUUAACCUAAUGCAGAAGCUACUUUUCACACUUCUAGUAAACCGAAGGUUUGAUGAAUACAUUUUGAUUCAAAGCAACCAAACAUCUAUAGUUUUAUUAAAUUUAAGUUUGAGAUGAUGCAAAAUAAUUAAAGUUGCGUUUGAGAGGAAGCAAAAUAAAUUUUGGCACUCCAAGUUGGCGUUUGGGUGAGUUUUUGACAAACAUUAUUUUGAAUAAACUUGAUUUUGUAUAAUCGAAGUUUGAAUUUAAGUAAUUUAUGUUUGAUUAAUUUUUAUCUUAAAAAUAUUUUGGCAUA